GUCUAACUCUGUUGCCCAGGCGGGAGUGCAGUGGCAUGAUCUCAGCUCACUGCAACCUCCGUCUCCUGGGUUCAAGUGAUUCUCCUGCCUCAGCCUCCCAAGUAGAUGGGACUACAGGUGUGUGCCACCACGCCUGGCUAACUUUAGUAUUUUUAGUAGAGAUGGGGUUUCACCAUGUUGGUCAGGCUGGUCUCAAACUCCUGACCUCAAAUGAUCCGCCCGCCUCGGCCUCCCAAAGUGCUGGGAUUAUAGGUGUGAGCCACCCCGCCCAGUCCCAAACCAUAUCAAUGUGCAAAUUUUAAUGUAAAUAGUUAUGGAUAUUCAUAAUGUCUUCUGUCUGUAGCUCUGGGCUUCAUGAGACUUUAAUGGGCGCUGCUUUCUAUUAGCACUUUCAACAUUGAGAGUCCUUGACCGCAACAGAAAAACCUGAGGACUCAAGGCCAAUGCCCAAGCUUCAGCGGCUUUGGUCUAAGACUACAAAAACAUCACCAGCCUGGAAACUGGUAAUACCUAAGUGCUAGGAGCUUCCUUGGGUUUUUGCAUAGUCUCUAGCACAUCCAGUGAUCCAUUCAGGGUUUCGUGUAUAUCCAUAACAAUGGAACUCCAUGGUCAUUUCACAAUCUUUAGGUAGGGUCCAACGUCUGAGGGCAAAUUGUCCUGCAUGACUCCCUCUCACAUUUCCCCUCAAGCUCACAAAUGAGUAAAAUCUGGAUAAAUUACACAUGAAGGGGGUUAUGGUUAACGAGACUGAGAGGCAGUCAUACUGGGAAGAGCAGCCAGGAGAAAAGAAUGUUCUAGAUGGGAAGAAUGAACUAAACCCUGGGCCUAUUACUCAUCAUGGUAGAAAAACUUCCUUUACACAGAAUGGAACAUGAAGUUCUAAGCCUCCUGGUGUUCCAAUGAGCUUGGGUUGUCAAGAGCACUCAUUUAACAAACGUCCUUAGACUCUUACUGUCACACUUAAUCUGAUCCAGCUUCCUAUCUUGAAGAGAUUAUUUUUGCUGAUUUUGACUUCCAUCAAAAUCUUUGUUUCUUGAUGCUCUCUUGAAUGUCCACCUUGGCUUCUAUAAUUCUUUUGUUUUUAAGAUCAGCAAGUUUCUCAAAGCCACAUUUGAAAAGCAUACAAUUACCUUUGAGAGGAUUCCAAUGCAAGGAUAAUUUUCUUAUUGGUUCAUAUAAUGAAGUGAUUUGUUUGCUCUGGUCCAUUUUAGCCAUUGAGCAUAUAACAGAUGGGUCAGAGGCCUAGAUGCUAGUCCUGCAGGUCACUAAACUGGUUGAGUGAUCUUGGGUGAUGUUGGGUAUAUCACUUAAUCUCUCUGGUCUGCAGUUUCCUCAGCUGCGAAAUGAAAGGAUUGGGCCAGAUGAUGUGUAAUAAUAACUCCUCUAGCUUCUCUAGCCUGUAAUAAUGUCCACAGAGUACAGGCUCUAUCUAGCCUCUAAGUCUAUGAUUAAAAUAUGAUUACAUGCUUUUUAGAUGAAAUUAGAAGGAAAAUCUCACAGGCCUUUUAACUUACCUACCAUAAAGAAUCAUUCAUUACCAUUUUGCUUUACUUCUUCUCACUUCCCUCUUCCUAAACUACUCUACAAAUAAAGACUAAAAUCCAGGAACUUGAUAUAGGAGAAUGAUGGAUGUGACUAUUUCACAUCCUUUUCUUUAAUAUGUUUUUAAUUACUUGCAAGUAAAUAAUUUAUUUGCCUAUAUAUCUUUCUGAACUCUGUGUGGGGACUGUUGGUCUCUGGUACAGUCCAAGCCCUCCAGCCUAGUGCUUGAAACAAAAUGGGUCUUGUUUGCCAGCAGCUCAUGGAAUGUGAUGCCCUUAUUUUCCCACAGUCUGUUACUAUAGGAAGGCACAUUGUAUAUUCUCCAUGUUUUUUUUUUUUUUUUUUUUUUUUUUGAGAUGGAGUCUCAUUCUAUUGCCAGGCUGGAGUGCAGUGGCGCAGUCUCAGCUCACUGCAACCUCCGCCUCCUGGGUUC
rnacentral:lncRNA from 1 species